rnacentral:rRNA from 1 species
GCGUGGGCGGCGCUACCAUGCAAGUCGAGCGGAUGACGGGAGCUUGCUCCUUGAUUCAGCGGCGGACGGGUGAGUAAUGCCUAGGAAUCUGCCUGGUAGUGGGGGACAACGUUUCGAAAGGAACGCUAAUACCGCAUACGUCCUACGGGAGAAAGCAGGGGACCUUCGGGCCUUGCGCUAUCAGAUGAGCCUAGGUCGGAUUAGCUAGUUGGUGGGGUAAUGGCUCACCAAGGCGACGAUCCGUAACUGGUCUGAGAGGAUGAUCAGUCACACUGGAACUGAGACACGGUCCAGACUCCUACGGGAGGCAGCAGUGGGGAAUAUUGGACAAUGGGCGAAAGCCUGAUCCAGCCAUGCCGCGUGUGUGAAGAAGGUCUUCGGAUUGUAAAGCACUUUAAGUUGGGAGGAAGGGCAGUAAGCUAAUACCUUGCUGUUUUGACGUUACCGACAGAAUAAGCACCGGCUAACUCUGUGCCAGCAGCCGCGGUAAUACAGAGGGUGCAAGCGUUAAUCGGAAUUACUGGGCGUAAAGCGCGCGUAGGUGGUUUGUUAAGUUGGAUGUGAAAGCCCCGGGCUCAACCUGGGAACUGCAUCCAAAACUGGCAAGCUAGAGUACGGUAGAGGGUGGUGGAAUUUCCUGUGUAGCGGUGAAAUGCGUAGAUAUAGGAAGGAACACCAGUGGCGAAGGCGACCACCUGGACUGAUACUGACACUGAGGUGCGAAAGCGUGGGGAGCAAACAGGAUUAGAUACCCUGGUAGUCCACGCCGUAAACGAUGUCAACUAGCCGUUGGAAUCCUUGAGAUUUUAGUGGCGCAGCUAACGCAUUAAGUUGACCGCCUGGGGAGUACGGCCGCAAGGUUAAAACUCAAAUGAAUUGACGGGGGCCCGCACAAGCGGUGGAACAUGUGGGUUAAUU